rnacentral:misc_RNA from 1 species
GGAGUAAAAGUCGUAACAAGGUUUCCGUAGGUGAACCUGCGGAAGGAUCAUUAUUGGAUUUUGAAACUUCAGGCUGCUGCUGGCUCUCCUCGGAGGGCAUGUGCACGCUUGUUGUCCAUUAUUUCUCCCACUGUGCACAAAUUGUAGACCUUUCAGUAGGCCUAUGUUGUUUUUCACAAUCUCUGAAUGUAAUAGAAUGGUUUUGAACCUUGGGAAAUACAAUACAACUUUCAGCAACGGAUCUCUUGGCUCUC